rnacentral:rRNA from 1 species
GAUGAACGCUGGCGGCGUGCCUAAUACAUGCAAGUCGAGCGAACAGCCGAGGAGCGUGCUCCUUUGACGUUAGCGGCGGACGGGUGAGUAACACGUAGGUAACCUACCUAUAAGACUGGGAUAACUUCGGGAAACCGGAGCUAGUACCGGAGAUUAGUUCGAACCGCAUGGUUCGAUAGUGAAAGAUGGCUUUGCUAUCACUUAUAGAUGGACCUGCGCCGUAUUAGCUAGUUGGUAAGGUAACGGCGUACCAAGGCAACGAUACGUAGCCGACCUGAGAGGGUGAUCGGCCACACUGGAACUGAGACACGGUCCAGACGCCCACGGUAGGCAACAGUGUGGAACCUGCCGGAACGGGCGGAAAUCUGCCGGAGCAACGCCGCCCAAGUGAAUAAGGGCUACGGACCGUAAAACGCUUUCCGUAGGGAAGAACAAGAUCUUAAGGAACUGUGCACGUCGUGACGGUACCUAAUCAGAAGACCACGGCUAACUCCGUG